UACGUAGGUGGCAAGCGUUGUCCGGAAUUAUUGGGCGUAAAGCGCGCGCAGGUGGUUUCUUAAGUCUGAUGUGAAAGCCCACGGCUCAACCGUGGAGGGUCAUUGGAAACUGGGGAACUUGAGUGCAGAAGAGGAAAGUGGAAUUCCAAGUGUAGCGGUGAAUGCGUAGAGAUUUGGAGGAACACCAGUGGCGAAGGCGACUUUCUGGUCUGUAACUGACACUGAGGCGCGAAAGCGUGGGGAGCGAACAGG
rnacentral:rRNA from 1 species